rnacentral:lncRNA from 1 species
AGAGGACGAAAGGUUGUAAGUGUUUUAAAAUUCUUUGAAUCUUUCAUAAUAUAAAAAUAAGGGUUAAUUUCAUACAGUUUUCUAUAAAUAUAGUGAAUUAUAAAUAUAUCCUUACAAAGUCCCAACUGUUAAUUGAUGAGGAGUAAAAAGGUCAAUUCACCUCAUUAACUAACCAGGAUUAAGUAUUUAAUCUAUGGUUAACUAAAAUUUUUUAAUGGAUUCUAACGAUAGGAAUAUAUUUGAAAAUAUGAGGACUAUUGUAGGUACAACAUAUGAAAGUUAAGCUUUGUAAGGAUAUAUUUACAAUUCACUAUAUUUGCAGAAACCUGCAUAUAAUUAAUCCUAAAAAUAAUAUUUUAGUUAUCACAUUUUCAAACUA